rnacentral:lncRNA from 1 species
GGAAGGCAGGUCUAGCCUGAGUCCAAAGCUCAUGCUCCUCACAGCAGCCUGGACGGCCCCCGCCCGUACUCCUCCUCUUCACUCGGGAAGCUUGGUGGCUCCCUCGGGAACACGGGCUCACCUUGGCGGACAGGGGAUCUGGAGACCUGGGGAGUGCUGGCAAACCACUGACCUGGGAGUCCAGUAUACAACCUUGGGCAAGUCCCUUUAUCACAUGCCAGCCACCCCCACUCCCAGGCCUCAGUUUUCUUAUCAAGGCCCCUCAUUUCAGCCUUCCACAGUUUUAUUGUUUUUUCUUCUAUCACUGCCACUGGAGGCCCAUCUAGAACUUCUGCUCUGACAUGGCCUCCUUUCCAAGCCUGGGGUCCUGGAUUGGACAAGCCCACCAGAAAUCCCAAAGUCCCUGGACCUCCUGUCUUUAAUCACGGAAUAAGUGGGUCUUUUCUUCUGGACCUCAUCAAGCCGCAUCGGUUCUCUAGAAUCAAAGACAUCUCCCCAGUAGAAGGGGCCCCAAAUCCACGUGAAAGUGAAGAAGUUUUCAAACUUCGAAUUAGGGGCCGGCCCUGUGACCAAGUGGUUAGGUUCUUGCACUCUGUCCGGCGUUUGAAUCCUGGGCGCAGACCUAGCACUGCUCAUCAGGCCAUGCUGAGGCGGCAUCCUGCAUGCCACAACUACAAGGACCUACAACUAGAAUACACAACUAUGUACUGGAGGGGGCUUUGGGGGGAAGAAGAAAAAAGAAAGAUUG